rnacentral:rRNA from 1 species
CAAACUUGGUCAUUUAGAGGAAGUAAAAGUCGUAACAAGGUCUCCGUUGGUGAACCAGCGGAGGGAUCAUUACCGUGUUAUACAACUCAUCAACCCUGUGAACAUACCUAAAACGUUGCUUCGGCGGGAACAGACGGCCCUGUAACAACGGGCCGCCCCCGCCAGAGGACCCCUAACUCUGUUUUUAUAAUGUUUUUCUGAGUAAACAAGCAAAUAAAUUAAAACUUUCAACAACGGAUCUCUUGGCUCUGGCAUCGAUGAAGAACGCAGCGAAAUGCGAUAAGUAAUGUGAAUUGCAGAAUUCAGUGAAUCAUCGAAUCUUUGAACGCACAUUGCGCCCGCCAGUAUUCUGGCGGGCAUGCCUGUUCGAGCGUCAUUACAACCCUCAGGCCCCCGGGCCUGGCGUUGGGGAUCGGCGGAAGCCCCCUGUGGGCACACGCCGUCCCUCAAAUACAGUGGCGGUCCCGCCGCAGCUUCCAUUGCGUAGUAGCUAACACCUCGCAACUGGAGAGCGGCGCGGCCAUGCCGUAAAACACCCAACUUCUGAAUGUUGACCUCGAAUCAGGUAGGAAUACCCGCUGAACUUAAGCAUAUCAAUAAGCGGAGG